GCUGGGUACACUGGUGUGUGUGCCUGCAGUCCCAGCUACUCCAGAGGCUGAGGCAGGAAGAUCACUUGAGUCUAGGAGUUCUGGGCUACACUGUGCUGAUUGGUGCACUAACUUUGGCUUCAAUAUGGUAAACUCCCGGAGUGGAGGACCACCGGGUUGCCAAAGAAGGGGUGAACUUGCCCAGGUCAGACAUGGAGCAAGUCAACAAAACUCCCGUGGUGGGAUCAUACCUAUGAAUAACCACUGCACUCUAGCCUGGGGCACUGUAGCAUGAUCCUGUCUCUA
rfam:Otolemur garnettii contig043808, whole genome shotgun sequence.